AGUACGAAGAACUCCCCGGUUUUGAAUCCAUCUCAAAGGCAGAGCCGAAAAAGCACUGCCAGUCGGGGGGCGGGGGCGGGCGGCUAUCACAACAACACACACAGCCCAGCAGCAGCUCCAGUGGGCAGAGAGAAAGAGGCAGGCAGGCUUCCCCCCUGAGUGAGUGUUUGCAGCAUGUAUGCAGUACUGGUUUUCCCUAUGCAGAACAUGUAAUAUGAGGGGAGAAGAGCAUAUACAAAUCAGUAAACAAUAACAUCUUUACCCUGCCAUUGAGUAACAGCUUGUUCCAACACAAAUGUGGAAUUAUGGAGGUCAGCUUUCAGAUCCAAGUAGUGGCACCAUUCCGGUAUCUCCUCCACGCACUGCUGUGACAAGACUAGAGAGGGAAGGAAAAUAACCAGCUGCCCAGCCAUACAGAGUUCGGUUGUUUCACAACAAGACUUUUCUAGACUCUGUGUGUGUGGUGUGUUGAGGGUAAGGGGCAUGUAUGUGUUGAGGCUCAGGACAGCAAAAGAAUUGCAGUUGAGAGGCUUUUCAGUUGGAGGACAGAAUCUGCAGUUGAGCAGAGGAGUUUAUAGCUGAGAAGAGGGCUCUGUCAUUUCUCUUUAGGCACUUUUUUCCUUUGCCACAAAAAGGCUCGUGUUGGCAAAUUGCAUUUGGGAAGGGACGAACAGGGAUGUUGGGGUUUGGCUUUGAGGCUGUUAUAUCCUUGGGCUGCUUUGACUAAAAAAAAAUUAGCCCUGUUCAUGUUUUUAUUUCGUAUCUGCAUCCAGUCAUCUGUACACAUUUAUGUUUGUGUGAAUGAUUUUACCUACCUUCAUUUUAAACGUGCACCUGGGUCCGGGUCCAUGCCCAUCAAAUGCAUAGUAUAACCCACUGCUGUGUUCAGCCUAAAAUAUGAAUAGCUAUAUACCUGCAUGCAGCUUCUCAAUAGCAUACCAAUAAGCCCUGCCCCAACAUGGACUGGCAGAGCGGCCUCAUGCCAUCACAUUGUCCAUGUUUACAGUGUUUGAAGAGGCAAACGCCAGAAGCAUGAUGGAGCUUAUUUCCUUUAUUGGAAGGCUGGGCACCUCAGACUUAAACAAAUAUCAGUUUAGACAAGUAUUUGGAGCAUAAGUUUAGGGGCCAUUUGGAUGAAUAACCCCUACAUAUAAUCAAGGAAUGUGCCAGGAGGGGAUUGAGAUCCUAGAGGAUCUUCACGUGUGUUGCCAGUGCAUCUUCACAUGUGCUAACAGUGGAACCUGGGCCUAUGGGCCCCCCCUUGCAAAAUAAGUAUCCUCUCCCCACAUACACACACGGUUUCAUUAAGCAUUCUUGAGCACACAAAACCCACUGCAAUAUAUUAGUCCAUCUAUGCACAUGGGAGAGAGCUUCCCAUUGGCUAGGGCAGGCAGGGAUAGAUCCACACACCUUCUUGAUAGGCAGACCACAGACCCACAAGUCUGGGCCAGAAUGAAUUGGGGGAGUGGAGGGAGACCACACAACCCCCAAAGAAUCCAUACAACUUGAUUAUCAUUCACCACAAACCCACAGGUCUGGGACAGGGUGUAUUUGCAAAACAAACAAACAAAAUAACCCAAUGGAUUCACACAGAUUCUUGAUUAUUCACAAACCAACUGGGACACAACAUGUGUCCCUUGCUCUACAGUUCAAACACAGACCUAAAUCACAAACCAGCUUGGACAAAUAGUGCAUUUGUUGGGGGUAGGGAUUAAAACCACAACAAAUGCCCUUUCCUUCAUAGUUAUCACAACAGACCUUCUGGAUCACAAACGAACUUGAGCAUAGUGCAUUUAUAUUUUUGAAAACUGUUUAUUCAGAUGUUAAAAUUUCCACUUUCACUAAGUGUGAUGUACUCUAUGGAUAGAGAUAACAUUUUCUAACAGCUUUACUGCAGUAGGGGAGAAUUCAUUAAAGAUGGGGAUGAUAAUCUAAGGAGGGCAUCAGAUCCAGAGGUUUUGUAGUUUUCUCUCAUGAAACAAGCCACUUAUAGGAAUUUUUCAAAGUGUAUAUUAAAUAUUAAUAUUAAAAACUAAAAAA